AAUCAACGCUGGCGGCGUGCCUCAGACAUGCAAGUCGAACGCGAAAGUCUCCUUCGGGAGGCAAGUAGAGUGGCGCACGGGUGAGUAACACGUAGGUAAUCUACCUUUGGAUGGGGAAUAACAACCGGAAACGGUUGCUAAUACCGCAUAAUGCAGCGGCACCUAAUGGUGACAGUUGUUAAAGCGGGGGAUCGAAAGACCUCGCGUCUGAAGAGGAGCCUGCGGCGGAUUAGCUAGUUGGUAAGGUAAUGGCUUACCAAGGCUACGAUCCGUAACCGGCCUGAGAGGGCGGUCGGUCACACUGACACUGACAUACGGGUCAGACUCCUACGGGAGGCAGCAGUCGGGAAUUUUGGGCAAUGGGCGAAAGCCUGACCCAGCAACGCCGCGUGAAGGAUGAAAUCCCUCGGGAUGUAAACUUCGCAAGAACGGGAAGAAUAAGCGAGAGUUAAUAUCUUUCGUGAUGACGGUACCGUUUGUAAGCUCCGGCUAACUCCGUGCCAGC
rnacentral:rRNA from 1 species